GUGGGUCUUGUGUCAUCAGUUUGCAUGAAGAAGGAAGGAUAAUUAAUAAGAAAGUCAAGGAUUGCCCUACUAGUCAUUCUAGUCAGCCAAUUAUCAUUGCCUUAGUCUGCCCUUUGAUCUUGUGGUAACUCUUGAACUUGGAGAAUGGGGAAGUCAUUUUGAAAACGUUGCUUCAGAUCAAGAACAAUGGUGUAGCUAAUUGAUUUUCUUUCUUGGAAUUAAAACUGCUGUCUCACUCAAAAGUUAGAGGUGCUUUAUGGAAUUUUUCAAAAAGAUGCAGCGACACCUGAAUGAUGCCUCCUUACAAGAGGAUGAACUUUUGAGAAGAAUUCCUGAAUAGACUAGGAGAAACUCGCUAGAAAAGGGUAUUUUC
rnacentral:lncRNA from 1 species